GACGAACGCUGGCGGCGUGCUUAACACAUGCAAGUCGAACGAUGAUCAGGAGCUUGCUCCUGUGAUUAGUGGCGAACGGGUGAGUAACACGUGAGUAACCUGCCCCUGACUCUGGGAUAAGCGUUGGCAACGACGUCUAAUACUGGAUACGACUGCCGGCCGCAUGGUAUGGCGGUGGAAAGAUUUUUUGGUUGGGGAAGGACUCGCGGCCUAUCAGCUUGUUGGUGAGGUAAUGGCUGACCAAGGCGACGACGGGUAGCUGGCCUGAGAGGGUGACCGGCCACACAGGGACUGAGAAACGGCCCAGACUCCUACGAGAGGCAGCAGUGGGGAAUAGUGCACAAUGGGCGAAAGCCUGAUGCAGCAACGCCGCGUGAGGGAUGACAGCCUUCGGGUUGUAAACCUCUUUUAGUAGGGAAGAAGCGAAAGUGACGGUACCUGCAGAAAAAGCACCGGCUAACUACGUGCCAGCCGCCGCUGUAA
rnacentral:rRNA from 1 species